rnacentral:rRNA from 1 species
UACGGAGGGUGCUAGCGUUGUUCGGAAUCAUUGGGCGUAAAGGGUGUGUAGGUGGCGCGCUAAGUCGGGUGUGAAAUUUCGGAGCUUAACUCCGAAACUGCAUUCGAUACUGGCGUGCUUGAGGACUGGAGAGGAGACUGGAAUUCAUGGUGUAGCAGUGAAAUGCGUAGAGAUCAUGAGGAAGACCAGUGGCGAAGGCGGGUCUCUGGACAGUUCCUGACACUGAGACACGAAGGCCAGGGGAGCAAACGGG